GGAUAAGCCGUUUCCAUCUUAGACUGCAUCAUCGCUUACCACCGGCUGAGAUUGCACUCAAGGGCUAACUAGUAAAUGAGUAAAAAAAUACAUAAAUACAUAAAUUA